UACGGAGGGUGCGAGCGUUGUCCGGAAUCACUGGGCGUAAAGGGCGCGUAGGUGGCCGCUUAAGUGUGUGGUGAAAGCCCGGGGCUCAACCCCGGGUCGGCCAUGCAAACUGGGCGGCUUGAGCAUUGUAGAGGCAGGCGGAAUUCCGGGUGUAGCGGUGGAAUGCGUAGAGAUCCGGAAGAACACCGGUGGCGAAGGCGGCAUCCUGGACCAACACUGACACUGAGGAGCGAAAGCCAGGGGAGCAAACGGG
rnacentral:rRNA from 1 species